UACGUAGGGAGCAAGCGUUGUCCGGAAUCAUUGGGCGUAAAGCGCGCGUAGGCGGCCCUGUAAGUCCGUUGUGAAAGUCAAAGGCUCAACCUUUGAAAGCCGAUGGAUACUGCAGGGCUAGAGUCCGGAAGAGGCGAGUGGAAUUCCGUGGUGUAGCGGUGGAAUGCGCAGAUAUCAGGAGGAACACCAAUAGCGAAGGCAGCUCGCUGGGACGGUACUGACGCUAAGGCGCGAAAGCGUGGGAGCGAACAGG
rnacentral:rRNA from 1 species